AGUAGGAUAGCUGGGUCAAAUGGUGGUUCCAUUCAAAGUUUUUAAAGGAAUCUCCAUACUGCUCUCCAGAGUGGAUAAACCAAUUUGUAGUCCCACCAGCAAU
rnacentral:pre_miRNA from 1 species